UGCGUUGGCUGCUCAUGCAU
rnacentral:snRNA from 1 species